rnacentral:lncRNA from 1 species
UAUCGGUAGCAGUACUGCGAACUCUGUAUGUUUAUAUGGCAUGCCAUACCCUUAUACUAACCUCGACUCCUAUUACGUUUACCAGGGCCAAGCACUAUUAAUUCAAUGUAUCAAUGUAAAAUGCAUGCCAUUUGAAGCUAUUUGAAUUCAUUUUCCAAGUUACAUAUAUCAUAUGCCAAGAUUUACAAUAUGGAAAACUCAUGGCAAAUAGUGCAAAACUUUAUUGACUUAGCAUUUUAAUGUAGAAAACUACAUUCUGCCAUAUAUUGCAUCAACUUUUCAAGUAGUUUAGAGUUAUAAUUUAACUUCAUUUUCUUCAUAAGAAAUGUACAUUUAUGUCUUAUCUUUCCAACAAGGUAUGAUUCAUGCAAUUCUGAUCAUCCUAACUUAAGUUAUGAAUUUUUCUUUACAAGCUGCUCAAUCAGGUCUUAAUCAGUCCAGUAUUAGUACCUGUUAUAGUAUCACAAAAUUAUCAGAUUCAUACAUUUCCAUACAAAUUCAAGCUUAAGUGUCUUCUACAAAGUUUUAGGUAUACUUCUUAAGAUUCAAUUGGAACUGGUCUUAACAAAUUUCACUGAGUACAAAAUUAGUUAUGGUAUCAUCAAUAGACUCUGUUCCGGAUGCACUACCACUGUAUCCAGUUUAGGUUCACUUGCAAUUUUCAUCAUCUUAAAUACAGAUUUCGAAUUUGGUCAAUUCAUAAAAGUUUUAGAUCUUUGUCUUAUCUUUCAUUUGGUAUAUCUUAGGACUAAUUUCAAUAAAUACACAAUAAGUUAUAAGGCUUCCAACACUGACUGUCCUGUUAGAACCUAUUCUGGCAGAUUUGCACUUUUAGCUCUCAUGUUAAAUUUCUUUACUCUAAGCCUUUCAAACAUCAUUUUAACAUUCAUAUAACAUAUUUAUACAGUCAAAGCAACAUUUCCAGCAAGUAAAAUCAACCCCUAAUUUCACUUAUUCAUGGCAGAAUCCAAGGAAAACAGAAAAUCAUACAAACACCAAACCUUU